CAGCCGUAAACUAUGCUCGCUAGGUGUCAGGCAUGGCGCGACCGUGUCUGGUGCCGCAGGGAAGCCGUGAAGCGAGCCACCUGGGAAGUACGGCCGCAAGGCUGAAACUUAAAGGAAUUGGCGGGGGAGCACAACAAUGGGUGGAGCCUGCGGUUUAAUUGGACUCAACGCCGGACAACUCACCGGGGACGACAGCAAUAUGUAGGCCAGGCUGAAGACCUUGCCUGAAUCGCUGAGAGGAGGUGCAUGGCGUAGACGUCU
rnacentral:rRNA from 1 species